rnacentral:rRNA from 1 species
AUUGAACGCUGGCGGCAGGCCUAACACAUGCAAGUCGAACGGUAGCACAGAGAGCUUGCUCUCGGGUGACGAGUGGCGGACGGGUGAGUAAUAUAUCGGAACGUGCCCAGUAGCGGGGGAUAACUACUCGAAAGAGUGGCUAAUACCGCAUACGCCCUACGGGGGAAAGGGGGGAUUCUUCGGAACCUCUCACUAUUGGAGCGGCCGAUAUCGGAUUAGCUAGUUGGUGGGGUAACGGCUCACCAAGGCGACGAUCCGUAG